GGGUUAUGGGAUUGAGUUUGGGCAGUCAGGCCCUCACCCCACGCACCACCUUCCUCCAGUUUCUGCUGCCCAGCACCUGCAUGGCUCGCACACACCUGGGCACCCACUGUGUGUCAGGCUCAGCGCUCUGCACUCUGCCCUGGGGCCGGCAGGUCACAGCGAGGCUUGGGAGACACAGAAUUGUGACACCUGAACACAAAACCUGAGGACAGGCUGGAAGGCAGGAGCGGUCACGGCCGUGGCAGGGGCGGCGGCUCUCGGGGCAGCCCUGCCCCUGGGCUUCACAUUUAGGCCCUUGAAGGCCCUGCGUGGUCUGGAGCCCCGAGAGCGAGCACCGCUUCUGUAGGGCAGCUUUGAGCCCACAGAGUCCUGCAGAGGAGGGGGCUGGAGCCAGAGAAAUAGGGCCUCCCAGUAGAGGGUGGGUUCUGUUUCCUCCGCGAGCGGACUCGGGACAGGAAGGGCACGGCCCCUCAACGAACAGGCAGCCCCCGAGGCAUGGCCACGCUGCCCCUCUGCUGCUUCCUCUGUGGGCGGGGUGCCGGUGGGUUUCAGGGGGCGACUCCCCCACCACGGAAGUGUGCUUUCCUGCGUCCGGCCCGUCAGCGCUCUGACCGUUUCUGUGCCCUGAGGCCGCGGGAGAACCCCAGCAGAGCCUGGUGUCUGGAGGCCUGGCCGGGCCGAGCAAGGACCCUGCACCGUUUGCUCGCUGCCCCUGCCGCUCCCCAGAUGCCGCAGCCCCCAGGGGCCCAGCCGCGCAGGCCUCCCACGGGAGAAGCCGUUGGUGCCCUUGGCGGUGCUUCUGCUGUGCCGUUGCUGGUUUUCCGUGAGGGUGGCAUUAGAGGAGACCUGUGGGGGUUUUCUGGGCCCCCGCGUGCGCCCUGCCUGUGGUUUCAGGGGCAGAGUCCCAGCCGGUGAAGCCUGCACAUGACCUCUGUUCAGAGCACUUCUUUUCAGGACUCGGGUAACGUUUGUUUUAAAAACAUUGGACGACCCCCAAAAAUCCGAAGAAACACGUGGAAAUUGCUGCAAAUCCGUGCCUCCUGGCUUGCGGUGUUCCCCCUGGCCUGAGCUGGAGGAGGCCUGCUGUCCUUUCAUGUAGCUGUGACCCUGCUGCACCGGUGACGUCGGAUCGUGUUUUCCGAGGCUCCGCAGCCCCAGUGAGGAGAGGGGCCGUCCUGGGACCGAGUCCCCAGCUCUCCACACCUGGCAGUCCUCUGGAUGCCCGAGGAGCCUUAAAAAACCUGCCUUCGCGCCCCGAGCCUGUCUGGAGCCACACACCUAUCGCUGUGUCUGCACAUAAAGCUGCUUCUGGCCCUGUGA